CAGCCGUAAACAAUGUGCGUUAGGUGUGUCGGUAACCACGCGUUACUGAUGCGCCGAAGAGAAAUCGUGAAACGCACCACCUGGGAAGUACGGUCGCAAGGCUGAAACUUAAAGGAAUUGGCGGGGGAGCACCACAACAGGUGGAGCCUGCGGUUUAAUUGGAUUCAACGCCGGACGUCUCACCGGAUAAGACAGCUGAAUGAUUGUCAAUCUGAAGGUUUUACAUGACUAGCUGAGAGGUGGUGCAUGGCGUCAGUGACU
rnacentral:rRNA from 1 species